AUAUGCAGGGCAUGCUCAGUAGCGGCGAGUGAAGCGGCAAAAGCUCAAUUUGAAAUCUGGUACUCUUCGGUGCCCGAGUUGUAAUUUGAAGAGGGCAUACUUUGGGCCCGGCUCUUGUCUAUGUUCCUUGGAACAGGACGUCACAGAGGGUGAGAAUCCCGUGCGAUGAGAUGACCCGGGCCUGUGUAAGUGUCCUUCAACAAUCCAGUUGGUUGGGAAUGGCACUUUUAAUUGGUGGGAAAUUCCCUCCUAAGCUUAAUUUUGGCCAAGGAACCAAUGCCAAACAAUUCCGUGGUUGAAAAAAUAAAAGAAAUUUUGAAAAAAGAUGGAAAAAUUCCUUGAAAUGGUUAAAGGGAAAGGGAUUGGAAUCAAACUGGUGAUUUGGGCCGCCGGUUCCUUGUGGGCGGCCGCUGCUCUCUAUUGGGUGGGCCUCGGUCUGUUUCGGUGGGAUGAUGAAUCCGGAAUGUGUACGUCGUCUGCUGUGUGUUAUAGCCUCGUGACGAUUCUGCCGGCUAGAACUGAGAACGGCGAUUAAGUCUAGGAUGCUGGCAUAAUGAUUUAUGUCGCCGUCUGA
rnacentral:rRNA from 1 species